rnacentral:rRNA from 1 species
GUUGACGCUGGCGGCAGGCCUAACACAUGCAAGUCGAACGAGUGGCGGACGGGUGAGUAAUGUCUGGGACCCUGCUUGAUGGCGGGGGAUAACUACUGGAACCGGUAGCUAAUACCGCAUACCAGCCGAUGUGCCCAGAUGGGAUUAGCUUGUUGGUGGGGUAACGGCUUACCAAGGCCACGAUCCCUAGCUGGUCUGAGAGGAUGAUCGGCCACACUGGAACUGAGACACGGUCCAGACUCCUACGGGAGGCAGCAGUGGGGAAUAUUCGGCAAUGGGCGAAAGCCUGAUGCAGCCAUGCCGCGUGUGUGAAGAAGGUCUUCGGAUUGUAAAGCACUUUUAGUUGGGAGGCGUUACCUACAGAGUAAGCACCGGCUAACUUCGUGCCAGCAGCCGCGGUAAUAC